AUUUUGGAUCUGAGAGUCAGCCAUGCAGCUGCCAUUUUGGAUCUGAGAGAGUUGGCCAUGCAGCAGCGUUUCGGAUCCGAGAGCUGGCCAUGCAGCAGCCAUUAAGGAUCCAAGAGUCGGUCAUGUAGCAGCCAUUUCGGAUCUGAGAGAGUCGGCCAUGCAGCAGCCGUUUGGGAUCUGAGAGUCGGCCAUGCAGCAGCCGUUUGGGAUCUGAGAGAGUCGGCCAUGCAGCAGCCAUUUGUGCAUGCUUCCCUUCUCCCAGCCCCACAGGAGACUGACUCUGCAUCCUGCCUCCUUUCAAAUGCAUCCUGUGCCAACAGUUUCUGAAAACGGAUAAACAAAUUGACAACCUCAAAUGCAAAGAUGAAACAUUUCUCCAGAUCAUCAGGCACAUGGUUUACUCAGGCCCAGAGGAGUGAGCUGAUAUAAAGAAGCUGUGCCACACAGUCGGAUGGGGUCCGAAGGAAACAAUAGGGCUGAGUGAUGAGUAUUGAAGAAGAAAUCUAAAGAAAGAAUGUCUUAUCAGCUGACCGCAAAGCUGCCUCCUUCUACCUGGCCACAUUGCUUAUCUAUUGUACUGCGUCUCUCUUGGAUGGAAACGAUACACCAAUCACUCAUAAGUGAAUAAUUUCCUUCUAAAUCACAGGCCUACACCUGAGGUGGCUGCCACAGGUGUAACCUGUUUAGACCAGCAAUUAUAUUUACUCCAUGAUGACAGAAAACAGGAAAGAUGUAUCAUACAGUGCAUUUGCUCCUGCUAUUUAUAAAUAGACCUCUUUACAUUAGCACUACAUAUGACUGUCUCAUCCACUUAUCAGCAAUUUAAUAUAUCACAGACAACAUGGGUUAAAAGCAAAAUAAGUUUCAAACACUAACCUCAGUUUACUCAUAAAUAUUUCACUUCUACAAACCUUGUUUAUUCAAGCUAUGGUUCUAUACAAAUUGGCAAGUCAUUCUUUAUUUUACUUUUCUGUGGUUCUAGACCCUUCUAGACUAAAGAUCUCUGACUUUACUGCUGCCUUUUCUAGAUGUUUUCCUGAGUACACAUGUGAGCUUAUUGUUAACAUCAGUCUCUUUCCCUUUAAGAACUGGUUUUUUUCUGAUGGCUGUGGUCUAAGAGAGCUCACUCUGGAUUUCUCUCUGUUAGUUUUCUAACAUAACCCACAGUGAUAAAUCUAUUUUAUGUUGGGAAUAAGGGAAUAUUUAUACGUAAAGUCAAACAAAAUUGAAGUUUACUUAUGCUUUUUUGCACUUUGAUAUUUUCUAUAUAUUCUGCCAUGUUCCCUAAUAUUCUCUGUUAUUCUAUUUUAUUUUUAAGAAAAUGAUUGGUCUCUACCCUCACAAUGAUUCUGCAAUCCACUGUGGGAACAUGACGCACAGCCUCGAGCCACUGUGGGAGCUUCCUCAUCAGAAGGGAGGGGUACCAGGGGGUGUGGUGAUGUGGCCCUAGGUGCGGGAAUUUCCAAAAGGGAAGCUCUGGUAGCAGCCUCUCAUCUAUAGUAUCAUAUUUUCAGUGUCAUCGUAACGCAGAGAAGUAGAAGAUUCAAGACUUUGGAAAACAGCCAUUUUCUCUCAAUUACAAGAAUAAUAACAGUAUUUGAAAGAUCCUAAAAGUGGUGAAGAUGGAGUAAGUGUUUGGUAGGGAAUCCCUGCCCUGGCUGAUCAUUAUGUCUGCCUUGGCUGUACAUGUGAUCUUGGUGGCAUUUCUGGACUAUCACCCAGAGAGGUGGGUUAAGACUGGUUAAGACCGCAGAGUCAGACCGCUUGGAGUUGAAUCCUGACACCACCGCAUUCUAGCUGUGUGACUUUAGAAAGUCCCUUAGCCUCUAUGAAAUUUAGUUUGCUCAAUCAGAAAAAGAGAAUAAUGACACUGUUCAUCUUACAGAAUUGUUGCAAGGAUUAAAUAAACUAUCAGAU